rnacentral:rRNA from 1 species
UAGGGAAUCUUCGGCAAUGGACGAAAGUCUGACCGAGCAACGCCGCGUGAGUGAAGAAGGUUUUCGGAUCGUAAAACUCUGUUGUUAGAGAAGAACAAGGACGUUAGUAACUGAACGUCCCCUGACGGUAUCUAACCAGAAAGCCACGGCUAACUACGUGCCAGCAGCCGCGGUAAUACGUAGGUGGCAAGCGUUGUCCGAAUUUAUUGGGCGUAAAGCGAGCGCAGGCGGUUUCUUAAGUCUGAUGUGAAAGCCCCCGGCUCAACCGGGGAGGGUCAUUGGAAACUGGGAGACUUGAGUGCAGAAGAGGAGAGUGGAAUUCCAUGUGUAGCGGUGAAAUGCGUAGAUAUAUGGAGGAACACCAGUGGCGAAGGCGGCUCUCUGGUCUGUAACUGACGCUGAGGCUCGAAAGCGUGGGGAGCAAACAGG